GUAGUGACGCGUGCUGCAUUAUAAAAAGCAGCGUGACAACGCAAAUUCUAUUGAAAGUGUUCAGCCGUCUAGAGACUACCAGAUCGCAAAAGCCUGCUAGGUUAGUGGGAUAAGUCACACAAGAAAUCAUCAUGCCAGCUGAAGUUCAUGUCGAAUACUGUGGUGCCUGAGGGUACGAGCCCCGGUAUCGGGAACUCCGUGAUGAGAUAUUACAGGACGUUCCCGAUGCUAAGGUCACCGGGUCAGUGGGCAGAAGUUCCUCGUUUGAGGUAACUAUCAAUGGCCAGCUGAUCUUUUCCAAGCUGAAGACGGGCGGCUUCCCGAAAUGGGAUGAUGUGAUAGCCGCGGUGAAGAAAGCUUAAGAAAUGACGAUAUCUACAUGUGACAAGAGCAGUCCAAACUGUCCAUAAGGGGGGAAAGGCAGAGGAGAUCACGGACGCCCAGAGCCCAGGCUGUCGCAUUUUGUAGAUAGGGAAGGUCAGGAGAGGACUGUGUUAACUGUUCGCACGUACAGCGGUUAUGAGUGACGUCUUUAUAAUGACAGCAGGCUGGGAAAUCUCAGAACUCGGUCAGCUUGAUGAAUCCUAAGGACCCUCGUCACCCCUGUUCGUCCAGAGUUUGCACGGCCCCUUAUCCUGCAUAAUGUUAAACAUGACACUAAAGACUAUUUAUUCAGUUUGUUGUAUGAAAUAUUUUUAUUACAAUUCUCAUUUUGAACGAUGCUCGGUGUCUUGCUUAAAUGUCAUAUUGUGUGUGAAGUGUUUACAGUUUGGUAAAGUUAAUGACAAAUUUUCCGAAAUCUAAUUUGAAAGUUUUAAUUCAGCAGAACUUCAUCUGGUCAAAUAUUUUCAACAUAUUCUACUGUCCACAAAGAAUGUUUUUAGUAUUUACGGUGAGGAAUACAAAAUUUCCCUGACUCUAAAUGACGUAAGAUCUGUUUUAAAAUUUGGACUGGUUGUGAUUUUGACUCGCUCUUUUAGGGUGAUGUCCACUGUCUCAGUCCAUCAACAUCCACCAUUGUCCAAAUUUGUUUUCUCGUGUUAGUUUCUCAGGGAAACACUGUAUCGUUAAAAUAUGCAAAUUACAUUGUCAUUAUGUGGGAACUGAAA